UNUGACUUGAGUGCAGAAGGGGAGAGUGGAAUUCCAUGUGUAGCGGUGAAAUGCGUAGAUAUAUGGAGGANCACCAGUGGCGAAAGCGGCUCUCUGGUCUGUCACUGACGCUGAGGCUCGAAAGCGUGGGUAGCGAACAGGAUUAGAUACCCUGGUAGUNCACGCCGUAAACGAUGAGUGCUAGGUGUUAGGCCCUUUCCGGGGCUUAGUGCCGGAGCUAACGCAAUAAGCACUCCGCCUGGGGAGUACGACCGCAAGGUUGAAACUCAAAGGAAUUGACGGGGGCCCGCACAAGCGGUGGAGCAUGUGGUUUAAUUCGAAGCAACGCGAAGAACCUUACCAGGUCUUGACAUCCCGAUGCUAUUCUUAGAGAUAGGAAGUUACUUCGGUACAUCGGAGACAGGUGGUGCAUGGUUGUCGUCAGCUCGUGUCGUGAGAUGUUGGGUUAAGUCCCGCAACGAGCGCAACCCUUAUUGUUAGUUGCCAUCAUUAAGUUGGGCACUCUAGCGAGACUGCCGGUAAUAAACCGGAGGAAGGUGGGGAUGACGUCAAAUCAUCAUGCCCCUUAUGACCUGGGCUACACACGUGCUACAAUGGUCGGUACAACGAGUUGCGAGCCGGUGACGGCAAGCUAAUCUCUGAAAGCCGAUCUCAGUUCGGAUUGGAGGCUGCAACUCGCCUCCAUGAAGUCGGAAUCGCUAGUAAUCGCGGAUCAGCACGCCGCGGUGAAUACGUUCCCGGGCCUUGUACACACCGCCCGUCACACCACGAGAGUUUGUAACACCCGAAGUCGGUGAGGUAACCUUUUAGGGG
rnacentral:rRNA from 1 species